rnacentral:rRNA from 1 species
GACGAACGCUGGCGGCGUGCCUAAUACAUGCAAGUUGAGCGCUGAAGGUUGGUACUUGUACCGACUGGAUGAGCAGCGAACGGGUGAGUAACGCGUGGGGAAUCUGCCUUUGAGCGGGGGACAACAUUUGGAAACGAAUGCUAAUACCGCAUAAAAACUUUAAACACAAGUUUUAAGUUUGAAAGAUGCAAUUGCAUCACUCAAAGAUGAUCCCGCGUUGUAUUAGCUAGUUGGUGAGGUAAAGGCGCACCAAGGCGAUGAUACAUAGCCGACCUGAGAGGGUGAUCGGCCACAUUGGGACUGAGACACGGCCCAAACUCCUACGGGAGGCAGCAGUAGGGAAGCUUCGGCAAUGGACGAAAGUCUGACCGAGCAACGCCGCGUGAGUGAAGAAGGUUUUCGGAUCGUAAAACUCUGUUGGUAGAGAAGAACGUUGGUGAGAGUGGAAAGCUCAUCAAGUGACGGUAACUACCCAGAAAGGGACGGCUAACUACGUG